rnacentral:rRNA from 1 species
UAACACGUGAGUAACCUGCCCCCGAGAGCGGGAUAGCCCUGGGAAAUUGGGAUUAAUACCGCAUAGUAUCGAAAGAUUAAAGCAGCAAUGCGCUUGGGGAUGGGCUCGCGGCCUAUUAGUUAGUUGGUGAGGUAACGGCUCACCAAGGCGAUGACGGGUAGCCGGUCUGAGAGGAUGUCCGGCCACACUGGAACUGAGACACGGUCCAGACACCUACGGGUGGCAGCAGUCGAGAAUCAUUCACAAUGGGGGAAACCCUGAUGGUGCGACGCCGCGUGGGGGAAUGAAGGUCUUCGGAUUGUAAACCCCUGUCAUGUGGGAGCAAAUUAAAAAGAUAGUACCACAAGAGGAAGAGACGGCUAACUCUGUGCCAGCAGCCGCGGUAAUACAGAGGUCUCAAGCGUUGUUCGGAAUCACUGGGCGUAAAGCGUGCGUAGGCUGUUUCGUAAGUCGUGUGUGAAAGGCGCGGGCUCAACCCGCGGACGGCCCAUGAUACUGCGAGACUAGAGUAAUGGAGGGGGAACCGGAAUUCUCGGUGUAGCAGUGAAAUGCGUAGAUAUCGAGAGGAACACUCGUGGCGAAGGCGGGUUCCUGGACAUUAACUGACGCUGAGGCACGAAGGCCAGGGGAGCGAAAGGGAUUAGAUACCCCUGUAGUCCUGGCAGUAAACGGUGCACGCUUGGUGU